rnacentral:tRNA from 1 species
GGGCGAGUGGCGAAAUUGGUAGACGCGCAAGACUUAGGAUCUUGUGGAGCAAUCUGUGAAGGUUCGAGUCCUUUCUCGCCCA